rnacentral:rRNA from 1 species
GUUAUAUGGUCAAGUGAAGAAGCGCAUACGGUGGAUGCCUUGGCAGUCAGAGGCGAUGAAAGACGUGGUAGCCUGCGAAAAGCUUCGGGGAGUCGGCAAACAGACUUUGAUCCGGAGAUCUCUGAAUGGGGGAACCCACCUAGGAUAACCUAGGUAUCUUGUACUGAAUCCAUAGGUGCAAGAGGCGAACCAGGGGAACUGAAACAUCUAAGUACCCUGAGGAAAAGAAAUCAACCGAGAUUCCCUUAGUAGUGGCGAGCGAACGGGGAUUAGCCCUUAAGCUUCAUUGAUUUUAGCGGAACGCUCUGGAAAGUGCGGCCAUAGUGGGUGAUAGCCCCGUACGCGAAAGGAUCUUUGAAGUGAAAUCGAGUAGGACGGAGCACGAGAAACUUUGUCUGAACAUGGGGGGACCAUCCUCCAAGGCUAAAUACUACUGACUGACCGAUAGUGAACCAGUACCGUGAGGGAAAGGCGAAAAGAACCCCGGAGAGGGGAGUGAAAUAGAACCUGAAACCGUAUGCGUACAAGCAGUGGGAGCCUACUUGUUAGGUGACUGCGUACCUUUUGUAUAAUGGGUCAGCGACUUAUAUUCAGUGGCAAGCUUAACCGUAUAGGGUAGGCGUAGCGAAAGCGAGUCUUAAUAGGGCGUUUAGUCGCUGGGUAUAGACCCGAAACCGGGCGAUCUAUCCAUGAGCAGGUUGAAGGUUAGGUAACACUGACUGGAGGACCGAACCCACUCCCGUUGAAAAGGUAGGGGAUGACUUGUGGAUCGGAGUGAAAGGCUAAUCAAGCUCGGAGAUAGCUGGUUCUCCUCGAAAGCUAUUUAGGUAGCGCCUCAUGUAUCACUCUGGGGGGUAGAGCACUGUUUCGGCUAGGGGGUCAUCCCGACUUACCAAACCGAUGCAAACUCCGAAUACCCAGAAGUGCCGAGCAUGGGAGACACACGGCGGGUGCUAACGUCCGUCGUGAAAAGGGAAACAACCCAGACCGCCAGCUAAGGUCCCAAAGUUGUGGUUAAGUGGUAAACGAUGUGGGAAGGCUUAGACAGCUAGGAGGUUGGCUUAGAAGCAGCCAUCCUUUAAAGAAAGCGUAAUAGCUCACUAGUCGAGUCGGCCUGCGCGGAAGAUGUAACGGGGCUCAAACCACACACCGAAGCUGCGGGUGUCACGUAAGUGACGCGGUAGAGGAGCGUUCUGUAAGCCUGUGAAGGUGAGUUGAGAAGCUUGCUGGAGGUAUCAGAAGUGCGAAUGCUGACAUGAGUAACGACAAUGGGUGUGAAAAACACCCACGCCGAAAGACCAAGGGUUCCUGCGCAACGUUAAUCGACGCAGGGUUAGUCGGUUCCUAAGGCGAGGCUGAAAAGCGUAGUCGAUGGGAAACAGGUUAAUAUUCCUGUACUUCUGGUUACUGCGAUGGAGGGACGGAGAAGGCUAGGCCAGCUUGGCGUUGGUUGUCCAAGUUUAAGGUGGUAGGCUGAAAUCUUAGGUAAAUCCGGGGUUUCAAGGCCGAGAGCUGAUGACGAGUCGUCUUUUAGAUGACGAAGUGGUUGAUGCCAUGCUUCCAAGAAAAGCUUCUAAGCUUCAGGUAACCAGGAACCGUACCCCAAACCGACACAGGUGGUCGGGUAGAGAAUACCAAGGCGCUUGAGAGAACUCGGGUGAAGGAACUAGGCAAAAUGGCACCGUAACUUCGGGAGAAGGUGCGCCGGCUAGGGUGAAGGAUUUACUCCGUAAGCUCUGGCUGGUCGAAGAUACCAGGCCGCUGCGACUGUUUAUUAAAAACACAGCACUCUGCAAACACGAAAGUGGACGUAUAGGGUGUGACGCCUGCCCGGUGCCGGAAGGUUAAUUGAUGGGGUUAGCGCAAGCGAAGCUCUUGAUCGAAGCCCCGGUAAACGGCGGCCGUAACUAUAACGGUCCUAAGGUAGCGAAAUUCCUUGUCGGGUAAGUUCCGACCUGCACGAAUGGCGUAACGAUGGCGGCGCUGUCUCCACCCGAGACUCAGUGAAAUUGAAAUCGCUGUGAAGAUGCAGUGUAUCCGCGGCUAGACGGAAAGACCCCGUGAACCUUUACUGUAGCUUUGCACUGGACUUUGAGCCUGCUUGUGUAGGAUAGGUGGGAGGCUUUGAAGCGUGGACGCCAGUUCGCGUGGAGCCAUCCUUGAAAUACCACCCUGGCAUGCUUGAGGUUCUAACUCUGGUCCGUGAUCCGGAUCGAGGACAGUGUAUGGUGGGCAGUUUGACUGGGGCGGUCUCCUCCUAAAGAGUAACGGAGGAGUACGAAGGUGCGCUCAGACCGGUCGGAAAUCGGUCGCAGAGUAUAAAGGCAAAAGCGCGCUUGACUGCGAGACAGACACGUCGAGCAGGUACGAAAGUAGGUCUUAGUGAUCCGGUGGUUCUGUAUGGAAGGGCCAUCGCUCAACGGAUAAAAGGUACUCCGGGGAUAACAGGCUGAUACCGCCCAAGAGUUCAUAUCGACGGCGGUGUUUGGCACCUCGAUGUCGGCUCAUCACAUCCUGGGGCUGAAGCCGGUCCCAAGGGUAUGGCUGUUCGCCAGUUUGAGAUUUGAGAGGGGCUGCUCCUAGUACGAGAGGACCGGAGUGGACGAACCUCUGGUGUUCCGGUUGUCACGCCAGUGGCAUUGCCGGGUAGCUAUGUUCGGAAAAGAUAACCGCUGAAAGCAUCUAAGCGGGAAACUUGCCUCAAGAUGAGAUCUCACUGGGAACUUGAUUCCCCUGAAGGGCCGUCGAAGACUACGACGUUGAUAGGCUGGGUGUGUAAGCGUUGUGAGGCGUUGAGCUAACCAGUACUAAUUGCCCGUGAGGCUUGACCAUAUAACACCCAAACA